AUACAUAGUACUUCCUCCGUUUCACAAUGUAAGUCAUUCUAGCAUUUCCCACAUUCAUAUUGAUGUUCAUGAAUCUAGAUAGAUAUAUAUGUCUAUAUUCAUUAACAUCAAUAUGAAUGUGGGAAAUGCUAGAAUGACUUACAUUACGAAACGGAGGGAGUAUUUUUUUU
rnacentral:misc_RNA from 1 species